rnacentral:rRNA from 1 species
GGGGAGCCGGAGGGAAACCGAGUCUUAAUUGGGCGUUAAGUUGCAGGGUAUAGACCCGAAACCCGGUGAUCUAGCCAUGGGCAGGUUGAAGGUUGGGUAACACUAACUGGAGGACCGAACCGACUAAUGUUGAAAAAUUAGCGGAUGACCUGUGGCUGGGGGUGAAAGGCCAAUCAAACCGGGAGAUAGCUGGUUCUCCCCGAAAGCUAUUUAGGUAGCGCCUCGUGAAUUCAUCUCCGGGGGUAGAGCACUGUUUCGGCUAGGGGGCCAUCCCGGCUUACCAACCCGAUGCAAACUGCGAAUACCGGAGAAUGUUAUCACGGGAGACACACGGCGGGUGCUAACGUCCGUCGUGAAGAGGGAAACAACCCAGACCGCCAGCUAAGGUCCCAAAGUCAUGGUUAAGUGGGAAACGAUGUGGGAAGGCCCAGACAGCCAGGAUGUUGGCUUAGAAGCAGCCAUCAUUUAAAGAAAGCGUAAUAGCUCACUGGUCGAGUCGGCCUGCGCGGAAGAUGUAACGGGGCUAAACCAUG